AGCUUUGCACAGUGGCAGUAUCGUAGCCAAUGAGGUUUAUCUGAGACGCGAUUAUUUCUAACUGAAAACUUUUCCCAAUAUCCCGGCAUGAGCACUUGAAAUAUAAUCGGCAUUGGCAAUUUUUGACAGUCUCUAUGGAGA
ensembl:snRNA U4 U4 spliceosomal RNA